CAUGCUGCAACAAAUCAAAUUUGAGUGAUUUCACAAAAUUUAGCAAAGUGUUUGAUGAAAUGACUCAAAGAAAACAGACUUUGGUUUUUCUACAGUUGGCUCUCACAGUUUUCAAAGGGGAUUGCGGGAUUAAUUGCCUUUUAAUAUUGGUUUGCAGAUUGCAAUGAUAAUAAGAACAUUUUAAAAUUGAUCCCAGCUUUUGC
rnacentral:lncRNA from 1 species